AGCAGCCGCGGUAAUUCCAGCUCCAAUAGCGUAUAUUAAAGUCGUUGCAGUUAAAAAGCUCGUAGUUGAAUUUCGGGAUCAGUACGCUGGUCAUGCCUUUGGUAUGCACUGGUGUCACUGGUCUCUCCCUUCUGAAGAUCCGUGAUGUCAUUAAUUUGGUGUCGCGGGGAAUCAGGACUGUUACUUUGAAAAAAUUAGAGUGUUUAAAGCAGGCUCACGCUUGAAUACAUUAGCAUGGAAUAAUGAAAUAGGACGUUUGACCCUAUUUUGUUGGUUUCUAGGAUCGACGUAAUGAUUAAUAGGGAUAGUUGGGGGCAUUAGUAUUCAAUUGUCAGAGGUGAAAUUCUUGGAUUUAUUGAAGACUAACUACUGCGAAAGCAUUUGCCAAGGAUGUUUUCAUUAAUCAAGAACGAAAGUUAGGGGAUCGAAGACGAUCAGAUACCGUCGUAGUCUUAACCAUAAACUAUGCCGACUAGGGAUCGGAUGAUGUUAAUUUUUAAUGUACUCU
rnacentral:rRNA from 1 species